GCUGGGCAUGGUGGUGCAUGCCUGUAAUCCCAGCUACUUGGGAGGCUGAGGCCGGAGAAUCACUUGAACCCAGGAGGUGGAGGUUGCAGUGAGCUGAGAUCAUGCCACCGCACUCCAGCCUGGGCGACAGAGUGAGACUCUGUCUCAA
rnacentral:SRP_RNA from 1 species